UACGGAGGAUCCAAGCGUUAUCCGGAUUUAUUGGGUUUAAAGGGUGCGUAGGCGGACUGUCAAGUCAGCGGUGAAAGUUUGCGGCUUAACCGUAAAAUUGCCGUUGAAACUGGCAGUCUUGAGUGUAGAUGAGGUGGGUGGAAUUCGUAGUGUAGCGGUGAAAUGCUUAGAUAUUACGAAGAACUCCGAUUGCGUAGGCAGCUCACUGGGCUACAACUGACGCUGAGGCACGAAGGUGCGGGGAUCAAACAGG
rnacentral:rRNA from 1 species